ACCCGCUGAACUUAAGCAUAUCAAUAAGCGGAGGAAAAGAAACCAACAGGGAUUGCCCUAGUAACGGCGAGUGAAGCGGCAACAGCUCAAAUUUGAAAUCUGGCUUUUUUAGAGUCCGAGUUGUAAUUUGCAGAGGGCGCUUUGGCUUUGGCAGCGGUCCAAGUUCCUUGGAACAGGACGUCACAGAGGGUGAGAAUCCCGUACGUGGUCGCUGGCUAUUGCCGUGUAAAGCCCCUUCGACGAGUCGAGUUGUUUGGGAAUGCAGCUCUAAAUGGGAGGUACAUUUCUUCUAAAGCUAAAUAUUGGCCAGAGACCGAUAGCGCACAAGUAGAGUGAUCGAAAGAUGAAAAGCACUUUGGAAAGAGAGUCAAACAGCACGUGAAAUUGUUGAAAGGGAAGCGCUUGCAGCCAGACUUGCUUACAGUUGCUCAUCCGGGCUUUUGCCCGGUGCACUCUUCUGUAGGCAGGCCAGCAUCAGUUUGGGCGGUAGGAUAAAGGUCUCUGUCACGUACCUCUCUUCGGGGAGGCCUUAUAGGGGAGACGACGUACUACCAGCCUGGACUGAGGUCCGCGCAUCUGCUAGGAUGCUGGCGUAAUGGCUGU
rnacentral:rRNA from 1 species